UGGGGAAUAUUGCACAAUGGGGGAAACCCUGAUGCAGCGACGCCGCGUGAGCGAUGAAGUCUUUCGAGUCGUAAAGCCCUGCCCUAUGGGAAGAUAAUGACGGUACCAUAGAAGAAAGCCCCGGCUAAUUACGUGCCAGCAGCCGCGGUAAUAAGUAAGGGGCGAGCGUUGUUCGGAAUUAUUGGGCGUAAAGAGUGCGUAGGCGGCGAAUUAAGCCAGAAGUGAUAACUAAGGGCUCAACCCAUAGAUUGCAUCUGAAACUGUAAUGCUUGAGUCAAGGGGAGGGAAGUGGAGUUCCUCGUGUAGCGGUGGAAAGCGUAGAUAUAAGGAGGAAUACCGGUGGCGCAAGCGACUUGCUGGACUUGAACUGACGCUGUGACACGAAAGCGUGGGGAGCAAAAAGG
rnacentral:rRNA from 1 species